rnacentral:rRNA from 1 species
AAAGGAGGGGCAAUACCGAAUAUUGUCCGGAACCGUGAAGGGUUUCGGGGAAAGGGAGGCCUCUGACACAAGCUUUCGCCUUAAGAUGAGCCCAUGGCCCAUCAGCUAGUUGGUAGGGUAAAGGCCUACCAAGGCUACGACGGGUCGCUGGUCUGAGAGGACGACCAGCCACACUGGCACUGAGAUACGGGCCAGACUCCUACGGGAGGCAGCAGUGAGGAAUAUUGCGCAAUGGGGGAAACCCUGACGCAGCAACGCCGCGUGUGGGAAGAAGGCCUUCGGGUCGUAAACCACUUUUACUCGGGACGAAAAAGGGAUAUCAAAUAAAUAUCCCCGAUGACGGUACCGUGAGAAUAAGCCACGGCUAACUCUGUGCCAGCAGCCGCGGUAAGACAGAGGUGGCAAGCGUUGUUCGGAAUUACUGGGCGUAAAGAGUCUGUAGGUGGUUUGUCAAGUCUUUGGUGAAAGGCCGUAGCUUAACUAUGGGAAUGCCAAAGAGACUGGCAGGCUGGAGGCUGGGAGAGGGAAGCGGAAUUUCUGGUGUAGCGGUGAAAUGCGUAGAUAUCAGAAGGAAGGCCGGUGGCGAAGGCGGCUUCCUGGAACAGUCCUGACACUGAGAGACGAAAGCGUGGGGAGCAAACAGGAUUAGAUACCCUGGUAGUCCACGCCCUAAACGAUGGGUACUAAGUGUGGAGGGGUUAAACCCUCCGUGCCGCAGCAAACGCAGUAAGUACCCCGCCUGGGGAGUACGGCCGCAAGGUUGAACUCAAAGGAAUUGACGG